rnacentral:rRNA from 1 species
AUUGAACGCUGGCGGCAUGCCUUACACAUGCAAGUCGAACGGCAGCACGGGGGCAACCCUGGUGGCGAGUGGCGAACGGGUGAGUAACAUAUCGGAACGUGCCCUGGAGUGGGGGAUAACUAGUCGAAAGACUAGCUAAUACCGCAUACGAUCUACGGAUGAAAGUGGGGGAUCGCAAGACCUCAUGCUCGUGGAGCGGCCGAUAUCUGAUUAGCUAGUUGGGGGGUAAAGGCCUACCAAGGCAUCGAUCAGUAGCUGGUCUGAGAGGACGACCAGCCACACUGGGACUGAGACACGGCCCAGACUCCUACGGGAGGCAGCAGUGGGGAAUUUUGGACAAUGGGCGCAAGCCUGAUCCAGCAAUGCCGCGUGGAGGAUGAAGAUCUUCGGGUCGUAAACUCCUUUCGAUCGAGACGAAU